GUCCACGCUGUAAACGAUGAGUGCUAGUUGUUGGGAAGUUUACUUCUCAGUGACGCAGCUAACGCGUUAAGCACUCCGCCUGGGGAGUACGGCCGCAAGGUUAAAACUCAAAGGAAUUGACGGGGGCCCGCACAAGCGGUGGAGCAUGUGGUUUAAUUCGACGCAACGCGAAGAACCUUACCAACCCUUGACAUGUGUAUCGCGGAAACCAGAGACGGUUUCCUUCAGUUCGGCUGGAUACAACACAGGUGCUGCAUGGCUGUCGU
rnacentral:rRNA from 1 species